rnacentral:tRNA from 1 species
GGUUGAGUACUUUAACCUAAAAGAGUUAACUUGCACCUAACAAUAGGGCUCAAACGUGCCCCUCAACCCC